rnacentral:rRNA from 1 species
AUGCUUUGUCCUCCUUGCCCCGCGACCAAAACAGCAGAGAAAUCCCCUUGCAGCUCGCUUCCACCACGGGCACGCGGAAAAGACCCUGACGGCGGUGAGCUCCGGCGAGAGAUUCGGCAGAGUCCCCAUAGCCUCCCCUGCUACAGCGCAGCUCCAAGACUGCCGCUGCAACACAGCACCAGGAGCCACCGGGAUGUUGCUCCGUUGCAAUACCGAGCGCCGCAAAAAAACAUCAAACGCGGCACGUACGACGCCUCCGGCGGUUUCAGUGCAACUCCGGCGGCGCUCCAUUGCAGGCCUGGGGCGGAGCUCCAAUGCAACUUCGUCGGCGCGGAAAAUGCUCCAAUGCAGCACCGAUGCGUAGCUCGGCCUCCUCCCUCGCGUGUUGCGCUGCAUCACCGGCGACGAGCGGCGCUCGACUGCACUCUGGCCUCCGUGUUGCGUCGCAACACUGGCAGCGAGCAGCCCAACCUCCCAUGCGUGCUGCCUUGCACCACCGGCGAGCGCCUGCGCAGCACCGACGACGACGAGCGUCGCAUCGCAACGCCUGCAGCACCAUCGAGUCGUCGGUCGCAACACCAGACGCCGGCGGGACUGUCGAGUUGUCGGGUCGCAGCACCGGCAGCAUCUGAGUCAACGACGAGGCUGCAUUGCAGCACUUGCUCUCGUCGACAAAAAUCACCUCGUCAUGGUGCCGUCGUGUGGACCUUGAGCAGCAGGUGGUGGAGCUUGGGCGCAGGCCAUGGCGAACAAGACUUGGACGGGAGACCUUGA